AAACGAUCUGUGAACCUUGGCACUGGAAGAAUUCACAGACUAGAUUUUAAAGGAUCGUGAGUCUCCUGGUGUCAAUUUUUGCAGAUCGAUU